AGUGAACGCUGGCGGUAGGCCUAACACAUGCAAGUCGAACGGCAGCACAGUAAGAGCUUGCUCUUACGGGUGGCGAGUGGCGGACGGGUGAGGAAUACAUCGGAAUCUACUUUUUCGUGGGGGAUAACGUAGGGAAACUUACGCUAAUACCGCAUACGACCUACGGGUGAAAGCAGGGGAUCUUCGGACCUUGCGCGAUUGAAUGAGCCGAUGUCGGAUUAGCUAGUUGGCGGGGUAAAGGCCCACCAAGGCGACGAUCCGUAGCUGGUCUGAGAGGAUGAUCAGCCACACUGGAACUGAGACACGGUCCAUACUCCUGCGGGAGGCAGCAGUGGGGAAUAUUGGACAAUGGUGGCAAGCCUUAUCCAGCCAUACCGCGUGGGUGAAGAAGGCCUUCGGGUUGUAAAGCCCUUUUGUUGGUAAAGAAAAGCAGCAGGUUAAUACCCCGCUGUUCUGACGGUACCCAAAGAAUAAGCACCGGCUAACUUCGUG
rnacentral:rRNA from 1 species